GACGAACGCUGGCGGCGUGCUUAACACAUGCAAGUCGAACGAAGUGGCGAACGGGUGAGUAACGCGUAAUCAACCUGCCCUUCAGAGGGGGACAACAGUUGGAAACGACUGCUAAUACCGCAUACUGAAGGAGGGGAUUGCGUCUGAUUAGCUCGUUGGAGGGGUAACGGCCCACCAAGGCGAUGAUCAGUAGCCGGUCUGAGAGGAUGAACGGCCACAAUGGGAAUGGGGAACGGGCCAGAAUCCUACGGGGGGCAGCAGUGGGGAAUCUUCCGCAAUGGAUGAAAGGCCGGCGGAGCCACGCCCGGGGGGUGAUGACGGCCUUCGGGGUGUAAAGCUCUGUUAAGCGGGAAGCGGUACCGGAAGAGAAAGCCACGGAUAACUCCGUGCCAGCAGCCGCGGUAAUUC
rnacentral:rRNA from 1 species